rnacentral:rRNA from 1 species
UACAGAGGUCUCAAGCGUUGUUCGGAUUCAUUGGGCGUAAAGGGUGCGUAGGCGGCGCGGUAAGUCGGGUGUGAAAUCUCGGAGCUUAACUCCGAAACUGCAUUCGAUACUGCCGUACUUGAGGACUGGAGAGGAGACUGGAAUUUACGGUGUAGCGGUGAAAUGCGUAGAUAUCGUAAGGAAGACCAGUGGCGAAGGCGGGUCUCUGGACAGUUCCUGACGCUGAGGCACGAAGGUCAGGGGAGCAAACAGG